rnacentral:rRNA from 1 species
UACGUAGGGCGCAAGCGUUGUCCGGAAUUAUUGGGCGUAAAGAGCUCGUAGGCGGUUUGUCACGUCUGCUGUGAAAACCUAAGGCUCAACCUUGGGCUUGCAGUGGGUACGGGCAGACUAGAGUGCGGUAGGGGUGACUGGAAUUCCUGGUGUAGCGGUGGAAUGCGCAGAUAUCAGGAGGAACACCGAUGGCGAAGGCAGGUCACUGGGCCGCAACUGACGCUGAGGAGCGAAAGCAUGGGGAGCGAACAGG